GCUUAACCUGGUUGAUCCUGCCAGUAGUCAUACGCUCGUCUCAAAGAUUAAGCCAUGCAUGUCUAAGUAUAAAUGACUUUAUACAGUGAAACUGCGAAUGGCUCAUUAUAUCAGUUAUAGUUUAUUUGAUAGAUACUUACUACUUGGAUAACCGUAGUAAUUCUAGAGCUAAUACAUGCGUCGAAGUCCUGACUACGAAAGUGGAAGGGAUAUAUUUAUUAGUCUCGAAACCAAAACGAGGGAAACCUCGGUAUUUCGGCGAACCAUAAUAACUAAGCGGAUCGUAUGGCGUAAGCCGACGACAUAUCGUUCAAAUUUCUGCCCUAUCAGCUUUGGAUGGUAGGGUAUUGGCCUACCAUGGCUUUAACGGGUAACGGAGAAUUGGGGUUCGAUUCCGGAGAGGGAGCCUGAGAAAUGGCUACCACAUCCAAGGAAGGCAGCAGGCGCGUAAAUUACCCAAUCCUAAUUCAGGGAGGUAGUGACAAUAAAUAACAAUGCUGGGCUAAUUUAGUCUGGCAAUUGGAAUGAGAACAAUUUAAAUCCUUUAUCGAGUAUCAAUUGGAGGGAAAGCCUGGUGCCAGCAGCCGCGGUAAUUCCAGCUCCAAUAGCGUAUAUUAAAGUUGUUGCAGUUAAAAAGCUCGUAGUUGGACUUCUGGUUAGGAAAACCUGUCUUCUCUCGCGAGAGAGUUGAAGUGUGUGUUGGUCUUAGCCAUCUUUGAGAGGACUAUUAUUGUCGUUAACUCGGUAGUAGUAGGAAUCUCAUCUUUUACUGUGAGCAAAUUAGAGUGUUCAAAGCAGGCGAUAGCCGUUGGAUACAUUAGCAUGGAGUAAUAAGAUAUGACCUUGGCGGUCUAUUUUGUUGGUUUGCACGCCUAGGUAAUGAUUAAUAGGGACAGUCGGGGGUAUUCGUAUUCAAUUGUCAGAGGUGAAAUUCUUGGAUUUAGGGAGGACGAACAACUGCGAAAGCAUUUAUCAAGGAUGUUUUCAUUAAUCAAGAACGAAAGUUAGGGGAUCGAAGAUGAUUAGAUACCAUCGUAGUCUUAACUAUAAACUAUGCCGACUAGGGAUCGGCGGACGUUAGUAUUGACUCCGUCGGCACCUUAUGAGAAAUCAAAGUCUUUGGGUUCCGGGGGGAGUAUGGUCGCAAGGCUGAAACUUAAAGAAAUUGACGGAAGGGCACACCAGGAGUGGAGCCUGCGGCUUAAUUUGACUCAACACGGGGAAACUUACCAGGUCCAGACAUAGGGAGGAUUGACAGAUUGAGAGCUCUUUCUUGAUUCUAUGGGUGGUGGUGCAUGGCCGUUCUUAGUUGGUGGAUUGAUUUGUCUGGUUUAUUCCGAUAACGAACGAGACCCCCGCCUGCUAACUAGUCGGGUUAAUGCAUUUGCAUUGAUCUAAUUGGCUUCUUAGAGGGACUUUUGGCGAUUAGCCAAAGGAAGAUGGGGGCAAUAACAGGUCUGUGAUGCCCUUAGAUGUCCUGGGCUGCACGCGCGCUACACUGACACGUUCAACGAGUAUGAACAUCCUUGGUCGAAAGGCCUGGGUAAUCUUUUGAACACGUGUCGUGAUAGGGAUAGAUUAUUGCAAUUAUUAAUCUUGAACGAGGAAUUCCUAGUAAACGCGAUUCAUCAGAUCGCAUUGAUUACGUCCCUGCCCUUUGUACACACCGCCCGUCGCACCUACCGAUUGAGUGAUUCGGUGAAGAUUCCGGACUGUGAUUGAUGUCUGUCAAAGGAUAUCUUUCGUGGGAAGCUAUCUAAACCUAAUCACUUAGAGGAAGGUGAAGUCGUAACAAGGUAGCCGUAAGCC
rnacentral:rRNA from 1 species